rnacentral:rRNA from 1 species
UUAUAUUUUAUUUAUUAAUUAUUUUGUUAUUUUAAUUUUUUUUUAUUAAAAAUAAUUAUAAAUUUUAAUUUUUAGUAUAGUUUAUAGAAUAAAUAAUUAUUAAUAAUAGUUUAUUAGUAUUGUAAAAGAAAAUUGAAAUAUUUUGAAAAAUUUUUAUUAUAAAAGAAAAUUUAAUUUAUUGUACCUUUUGUAUCAGGGUUUAUUAAAUAAAAAAUAUAAAUAUAUUUUUUUCGAUUUUAAAAGAUCUAAUAAAAUAUAAAUUUUAAUGUAAUAAAAUUAUAUUUAAUAUUUUAUUAGAAAUGAAAUGUUAUUCGUUUUUAAAGGUAUCUAGUUUUUUAAGAAAUAAAUUUAAUUUAUAAUUUAUAAAUUUAUAUUUUUAUCUAUAUAAUUAUAUAAUUUAUAAAUUUACUAUUUUAUGGGAUAAGCUAUAAAAUAAAAAUUUAAAAAUAUAUUAAAUAAGUUAAUAAAUAUAAGCUUAGAAUUAGCUAUUAUUUGUAAAUAUGUUAUAAUAUAUUUUAUAAAUAUUAUAAAUAUUAUUUAAUAUUAUUUUAAUUUAUUAUUAAAAUAUUUAUUUAAAUUUAUUAAAUAAAGUAAUAAUGAUAAAAUUAGUAUAUUAUAAUGUUUAAUUUAAUUUUAUUAAAAAGUUUUAAUAAAGAAUUCGGCAAAAAUAAAGUUCGCCUGUUUAACAAAAACAUGUCUUUUAGAAAUUAAUUUAAAGUCUAAUCUGCCCACUGAAUUAUUUUAAAUGGCCGCAGUAUUCUAACUGUGCAAAGGUAGCAUAAUCAUUAGUCUUUUAAUUGAAGGCUGGUAUGAAUGAUUGAACGAAAUAUUAACUGUUUCAUUAAAAUUUAAUUUAGAAUUUUAUUUUUUAGUUAAAAAGCUAAAAUAUAUUUAAAAGACGAGAAGACCCUAUAAAUCUUUAUAUUUACUAAAUUUUAAUUUUUAAGAUUAUUUUUAUUAUAAUUAUAUUAAAUAUUUUAUUGGGGUGAUAUUAAAAUUUAAUAAACUUUUAUUAUUUAUAAACAUUAAUUUAUGAUUAAUUGAUCCAUUUAUAAUGAUUAAAAAUUUAAGUUACUUUAGGGAUAACAGCGUAAUUUUUUUGGAGAGUUCAUAUCGAUAAAAAAGAUUGCGACCUCGAUGUUGGAUUAAGAGAUAAGUUUAGGCGCAGCCGCUUAAAUUUUAAGUCUGUUCGACUUUUAUAUUCUUACAUGAUCUGAGUUCAAACCGGCGUAAGCCAGGUUGGUUUCUAUCUUUAAUUUUUUAAAAUAUUUUAGUACGAAAGGACCAAAUGUUUAAUUAAUAAUAAUUUUUAAAUAUGAAAAUUAUUAAUUU